rnacentral:lncRNA from 1 species
AGCGCUCGGGGAACGGCAUGCAUGUGACGCAGCUUUUAAAAAAGGAGACGGAGGCAGAGACCCCAGAGAGGGAGGGCGAAGGGGAGGGCUUGGAGGCGCAGCCGCGCGCUCGGUGUCCGUCCUCCGGGUGCCGCCGGAUGGGGAGUCUGGCUGAGCCGGAGCGGGAGCCGCGGCUGGGGGAGGCGGAGCCGGGGUGGGCAGUGUGGUGUAUCUCUCUCCACCCCGGGCCGCGCUCCGGGAGGGAAAAGGGACUGCAGACCCCCUGUCCGUGCUCCCUGCUGAGACGCCAGCCUUCUUCUGGAGGCCCCUUGUUUCGCGUCCCUACCCUAGGCUGGAUGGGUUUUUGCUGAGGGAGCAUGAAAUGAUGGAACGGUGCAGAGUCCAGGGAUUGAAAAGAAGGCCUGCCUAGGAAUGGAGACCCUCCCCACCAUGUGCUUAGGAUGGGGGAUAGGGGAGCUUGUACACUGUGGAGUCUCCCACCCCCAGGUUUCCCCAUCUCCACCCCCACCAGGAGCAGAGAGGACCUGACUGAAGCCAUCCACACUCACACAAGUAUUUCCUUGGCAGCAUCCCCUGCCUGAGUGCACCCCCUCCCUGCAUUCUCCCAGACAAAGGUCAGCACUAGAGGGAGUAGAGAGAACAUAAGGCAACAGAACACUGGCCCGAAAUUGUGGAUACCUAGGUUUGAACGCAAGAUUCGCUCCUCAAUACCUGAGUGAUUUGAGACAACUGACCACCCCACCUGGGACACUAGCUUUAUCCUCUGUAACCUAUGGCUUGAUUACACAUGUGGAAGGUAGAAGCUUAGGAAGGAAGAAAAAACUGCCUUACUUGAGCAUGCACUAAUGCCAGGCACUGCCCUAGGCCUUUUACACUUGCCGACUCAUUUACCUUUCAUGAGGACCUUUGGAAGAAGGUGCUAUUACCUCCAUUGAACAAGUAGGAAAACUGAAGUUCAGAGAUGAUAAUAAAUUUGAACUUGCCUGUAAAACACUGUUCUCCCUCUUCUUCACCUACUAGUUAAUGCUUCCUUAACACCUUAGUUCUAGCUUCACCUUCUCUGGGAAGAUUACCCUUCCCACUCCCACUGACACUAUAGCCCAGUUACCGGUAAGGAAAUACCAUCUCAGUACUGUUGAAUGGGUGGUUAAAAUAAGUGAUUGGGGCUCCUACAGGAACUCCAUUUAGGCAAGUUAGUUAACUUUGCCAAGGUAACAGAGCUAACAAGCACUUGACCCAUUGCUCCACUCCUUGCCUUACUUCUAGUGUGGAUCAGACCUGGGGAGGGAGAAGAGAACAUCUUUGGAGCAUCUCUGGGAAUUGUGGUAUAGGCAAAAAUGGGAAGAGAGGUCACAGACACCUGGCAGACAGAA